CCUACGGGAGGCAGCAGUGGGGAAUAUUGCACAAUGGGGGAAACCCUGAUGCAGCAACGCCGCGUGAAUGAGGAAUUCUUUCGGUGUGUAAAGCUCUAUCAGCAUGGAAUUGAAAAGAAGGUACCUGAAAAAGAAGCACCGGCUAACUACGUGCCAGCCGCCGCGGUAAUACGUAGGGGGCGAGCGUUAUCCGGAUUUACUGGGUGUAAAGGGAGCGUAGACGGAAAGGCAAGUCAGAAGUGAAAACCCAAGGCUCAACCAUGGGAUUGCUUGUGAAACUGUCAAACUAGAGUACGGGAGAGGUAAGAGGAAUUCCUGGUGUAGCGGUGAAAUGCGUAGAUAUUAGGAGGAACACCAGUGGCGAAGGCGUCUUACUGGACUGAAACUGACGCUGAGGCUCGAAAGCGUGGGGAGCAAACAGGAUUAGAUACCCCAGUAGUC
rnacentral:rRNA from 1 species